CUCAAGUCGAGCCGCGCGGACUCUGGUUUCCAUUCAUUUUGAGCUGCGCCGGGUCGGGCUCCUACUGGGGAGCUGCGGCAGUUUGUUACUCGAGGCCGCCCUUCAGGGCGGGCCCCGAAGGCCCGGCCUGGUGGAGAGUUGGUUUUGUCAGCAGUUUGGGUUCUCCAUGUUUGACAGCUUCCCUUUGCUCACCCAAGCACCUGCCAGAACUAUGUGAGAGUCUGGACAUUUUCUGGCCUUCUCCUAAAAGAAGCUAAAGGGAUGUGUUUCUGAGUGUCGCCCUGAUCUUUCCAAAGUGUUGGUCAGAAGACCCAGGUUGCAGUAUGGUCCAGAGAGCAGAGCCAGCCUUUGUGCUGUGGAUCCCAUCACCAUUCGUUGCUGAAGAAGAAGCAGGGCUCAGGACAAGCAUGUCAAACACUCCUGACACUACAAAUCUACACUCUGCAACUAGCUGUCACCACAUGUUGUCUUCUCACCCUUCUCCACUGAAAAAGAAAAGGAAAAUGUAUGAUAGCCAAGUAAAAGAUGACAGGAAAUCUUCUAGUCAAGCUUAAUAGUAUUUGCUGUUUUAUUUUCUGUUUUACAGAACUGAAAAAUACCUAUUAGUGUAAAGACAUUAAGAAAUGCACAGAAAGAUGAAAAUAAAACCCCAUCCCAAGAGACUCCCUGCUUUUAGCAUUUUAUGGCAUUCUUCUCUAAACUUUAAUUAAAAGUUUCAGUGAUUUAAAAG
rnacentral:lncRNA from 1 species